GCAGGGGAGGGGAACGAGUGGGAAGGGACUGAAGAAGAGCGAGAGAGGUGGGUGACCGCCGCGCCUCCGUCCAGACUUCCAGUUCCAGGCGUGGCGAACUAGGCAAGCGGCACGCUCCGCCUUCGCAUACCCUCCGCGAGUGAGCUCCAGUUGCCUCCACCGCCGUACUCAGCAGCGGAGACCGGCGAGUCAACAGGUAGCAGAGGGGGAGGAGGGGAGCAGUUCCUAUUCGCCCGGGCACCGACCGCCCGGAGCAUUCCCGUUCCCGCUGCUGCGUCCGCUAGUUUGCCGUCGCCCUGUUGCACGUACGGCUAGGGUUUGGAGAUAGAUCCGCCCGCCGCCCCGCCGGCUCGUGUAGAUGCACGCCGUGCUGCAGGGAGGAGUAGAGGAAGUGCCUGGCUCGCGUGGUUUUGGUUCCUUGUUCUGAAGGCUUCGUAGCGCGCGAUCCGGUUCGGUUGCAAUCGGUAGUAAUGUCGGGCUCGUCGGCCGCAGGGGAGGACAUAGUGCAGCACCUAUCGUCCAAUUCCAACCCGUCUUCGUCGAAGCUCGCCAAGCUCGAGGCACGGAUGGCCGGCAAGGCUGUCUCCGCGCCAUCGUCACCGCCGCACCAUCCCAUGUCUGCCCCCGUCAUAUCGUUCAUGGACCAGGAGGAGCUGCCUGAGACUUCCUCUUCCGAUGACGAUAACUGUGAGGAGUUCUUGAUACAAAAGAAUACCCUGAAGCGUCCGAGAUCUCCAGAUGGUGACAACAUGCUUGCUCUUGGAAAUUUUGAGGGUUCGGUAAAUGAGGCAGCAAAGAUUUUAGGCGUCACAGAUACAAAACCUUCCUUGGACAAUUCAAGUAGGAAAAAACAAGGCCGUGGAAGGGGUCGUGCUGGUACAGGCCGAGGGCGUGGCUCAAGGGCUGCUGAUCAAACACGAUUGACUUCAACUUCCUCAGCAGCUGUAACAAAUGGCCAACUAGAUAAAUUAACCAACAAGGAACCCCGAUCGAGUGUUCAACUGGGCCAUGACGACAGAGCUGCUUUACAGGACGAAUUGUCAACAUUACGUGGCAAAGUUGCAUUUUUGGAGGAAGACCUUUCUAAAUCGCAUCAAGAAGCAACAAAUUACCAUGAACUUAGUGAUAGGUUAGCAAAGGAAUUGAAGGAUCUCAAAGAUCAUGACCAACAAAUGAGAUUAAAGCAAAUGAAAAUCCUGUCCGAUCUGCUGAUAGCUGUGUCAAAAGCAGAGAGGCAAGAAGCGAGAAUGAGAAUAAGGCAGGAAUCUUUCAGACUUGGAAAUGUUGCUGUUAUGAGAGCUGGGACUAUCAUAUCUGAAACUUGGGAAGACGGUCAGGCAAUAAAAGAUCUUAAUGCUCACCUGAAAUCUUUGCUGGAAACUAAGGAGACUAUUGAAAGGCAUCGUAAAUCACUUAAGAAAAGACAAUCUGACAAGGGUGAUGGCAGUGAUGCUGAGACUGGCAUGUCUGAGGAGGACAUCCUCUUACAAGAUGAAAUAUGUAAAUCUCGGUUAAUGAGUAUAAAACGGGAGGAAGAACAGUAUAUGAGAGAGAGAGAUCGGUAUGAGUUGGAAAAGGGGAGGCUUAUACGAGAGAUGAAGCGUCUCAGAGAUGAAGAUGGCUCACGCUUUAACAACUUCCAAAUUCUUCACCAUCGUUAUGCUCUCUUAAAUCUUCUUGGAAAGGGAGGGUUUAGUGAGGUUUACAGGGCUUUUGAUUUGGUGGAGUACAAAUAUGUGGCAUGCAAGCUUCAUGGAUUGAAUGCUCAAUGGAGUGAGGAGAAAAAACAGAGCUACAUACGGCAUGCGAUUCGUGAAUAUAACAUUCACAAAACUUUGGUUCAUCCAAACAUUGUCAGGCUAUGGGAUAUAUUUGAGAUUGAUCACAAUACAUUCUGCACUGUCCUAGAAUAUUGCAGUGGCAAGGAUCUUGAUGCAGUCCUUAAAGCUACACCAAUUCUUCCAGAAAAAGAAGGAAGGAUCAUAAUUGUUCAAAUAUUUCAGGGCCUGGUUUAUCUAAACAAGAGGGGCCAAAAGAUCAUUCACUAUGAUCUAAAGCCGGGCAAUGUUCUCUUUGAUGAGGUUGGUGUUGCAAAAGUUACCGACUUUGGCCUCAGCAAGAUAGUGGAGAAUGAUGUUGGGUCUCAGGGGAUGGAGCUCACUUCUCAGGGAGCUGGAACCUAUUGGUAUCUUCCUCCAGAAUGCUUUGACCUGAGCAAAACACCAUUUAUUUCAUCUAAGGGGUAUCAUCUUCGUGACCGUGGCACUAUUGCAGCUCCAGAACGUUAUGGGUUUUCCCGUGCUGGUGCAGUCAUUGCUGAACCAUCAUCUUAUAAAGAGGCGUCUGGUAUACCUGAGUGGCAGCUUGCUAUGACUGAUGAAUUAAAUGCCCUUCAUCGCACAUGUACAUGGGAUGUUGUUCCGUUACCUGCUGGUGUUGUACCUAUCACGUGCAAAUGGGUAUUCAAGGUUAAAACCAAAUCUGAUGGGUCUAUUGAGCGAUAUAAAGCUCGUCUUGUGGCCAGAGGUUUUCAACAGACACAGGGUAUUGACUAUGAUGAGACUUUUGCACCUGUGGCCCAUCUGACUACUGUCCGAGCUUUACUUGCUGUUGCAGCCUCAUCUUCUUGGACUAUCUCUCAGAUGGAUGUCAAAAAUGCUUUUCUUCAUGGUGAUUUACAUGAGGAAGUCUAUAUGCAUCCACCUCCUGGGAUAGAGGUUCCAUCAGGGCAUGUAUGUCGUCUUCGUCGAGCCUUGUAUGGUCUCAAACAAGCUCCUCGUGCUUGUUUUGAGAGAUUUGUUUCUGUCAUCAAGGCUUGUGGUUUCUAUUCUAGUGAUCAUGAUCCUGCAUUGUUCAUUCAUGUUUCUUCACGAGGACGCACGUUGUUAUUACUAUAUGUUGAUGACAUGUUGAUUACAGGCGAUGAUCCAGACCAUAUUGCUCAUGUGAAGGCGUCUCUGAGUAAGGAAUUUCAAAUGUCUGACUUGGGGGCACUCAGUUAUUUCUUGGGCAUUGAGGUUUUGCAGACUCAAAAUGGUAUUUAUCUUUCUCAGGCCAAGUACAUACAAGAUCUUCUUGAUCGUUCUGGUCUUAGUGAUACUCGCACUGUUGCCACGCCUAUGGAUCUACACUUAUCUCUUCGUCCGACUGAUGGGACACCUUUUGAGGAUCCAUCUCGAUACAGACAUCUUGUUGGCAGCUUAGUUUAUCUUACUGUCACCAGGCCAGAUAUUGCUCAUGCGGUUCAGAUCUUGAGUCAGUUUGUCUCUGCUCCUACAUCAGUUCAUUAUGGGCACUUACUUCGUGUGCUUAGAUAUUUACGGGGGACAAAAACACAAUGUUUAUUUUAUGACUCAAAUUCCCCACUUCAGCUUCACGCUUACUCUGAUGCUACCUGGGCCAGUGAUCCUACAGAUCGUCGCUCCAUCACUGGUUACUGUAUUCUUCUUGGAUCAUCCCCUAUUGCUUGGAAAUCCAAGAAGCAAGCUGCUGUAUCUAGAUCUAGUACUGAAGCAGAACUUCGAGCCCUGGCUACUACUACUGCUGAGAUUAUCUGGAUUCGUUGGCUCUUGGCUGAUCUAGGCGUUUCUUGUGACUCGCCUACACUUCUUCACUGUGACAACACUGGCGCUAUACAAAUUUGUCAUGAUCCAGUGAAGCGUGAACUCACAAAACACAUUGGUGUUGAUGUCUCAUUCACUAGAUCUCAUUGUCAUCAGAAGACCAUUGAUCUUCAAUAUGUGCCCUCAGAAUUACAGCUUGCGGAUUUCUUCACAAAAGCACAAACUAGGGCACAACAUCAGUUUCAUCUAAUCAAACUCAAUGCUUCAAAUCCUCCACUUCCGCCUUGAGUUUGACAGGGGGUGUUAAGGCCCAUAAGGCCCAUAUUGCCUAUAUGCCUAUAUAUAUAUGCUACAGUACCUGUGGGGGUGAUUAUCUCGCCUAAUCCAAGGUGGAUGUUUGGUCAGCUGGUGUAAUGUUUUACCAGAUGCUCUUCGGAAAGCGUCCUUUUGGUCAUGACCAGACCCAGGAGAGAAUACUUCGGGAAGAUACGAUUAUCAAUGCACGGAGAGUGGAGUUCCCUUCAAAGCCAGCUGUAUCAAAUGAGGCAAAGGAUCUGAUACGCCGGUGCUUGACAUACAACCAAUCAGAGAGACCAGAUGUACUAACCAUAGCUCAAGAUCCUUAUCUCUCAUACGCAAAGAGAUAGCCGCUAUGCCGGAGAACACUAAGGCAAGGGUAGCUGAUCAUUUAUGAGAUUAUUUAUGUAUGGGGAUGGAUAAUCUUGCGAAGGAGCAAAGUGUUCCACAAGCUCAAGAAGACCACAAAGGGUGUAACUGUAUAUGUUGUAAAUUUUAGUCUUUCCCAUCGCAGCAAUGACCUGAAAUCCAGAAGCCAUCAGUUCAACGGACAGCUUCUUUGUAGCGUAGAGAAAGCAGGCAUUGGUUUGAACGGGGCAUGCGUAACGUGAUGGUUUCUUGGCUGGUGGGCUGUGGGCAGUGGUCCUGUUGAUGGUUGGUUUUUGUUUGCUCAUACUGUCGGUAAGGUCUGCCAAAUCAGAAACCACCGGUGACAGGCGAGAGCUCACAUGCUCACCUCCGAAAAAAAUCUCGGCCUUGCACUGGCAGGAUGGACUGGAUUUUGCGUAUUGCCAAAACAGAUUUAAGGUAGCAUGCAUCAAUACAGGUUACUUUGGAUAACCUAUAGACUCACCACAGCCACAAGCACAGAAGCUCUUCGUACAAUUUCAGAGAGUACCGAUGUGCCAGAUUUCUGCUGGUGCCAAUUUGUUUGUGAUCGCUGUCACCCUUGUACAACACUGGGAUCGCUCAUUGAGCAUACACAAGUUAUGCAAUUUGCUUUUUUAUUAUAGUCA